rfam:Ictidomys tridecemlineatus contig009943, whole genome shotgun sequence.
AGGGAUGUGGCUCAGUGCUAGAGCACUUGCCUAGCAUGUGCUAGACCCUGGGUUCAAUCCCCAGCACCACAA